GAGAACUUGAGCUGCAGCCGUCAACCCCCUCCGCUAGGGUUUUGUUCCACUGUCACGUUAAGCUAAAGGAACUUAUACUCCAUUUCUGCGAACCCAUCUUUGAGUUGUUGCGCUCCGAGGUCCCGUGUCGAAGCUCGGUUAGCCCUUUUUCAGAUGGGCGAGGUUCUCGUGGUCAGCAAGGAAAUGGUGAUUCCGCUGCUUAGCCUUCUGGGCUGGAUUUAUCUUAUUCAUGAUUUCUUUAGGGCUAUGGCCCAUGUAUCGCUUUAUACAUUACUACUCUACCCUCUUUGAUAGACUUGUAUCUAGUUUUCCGUUGACAUCGUGGUGUGCCCAAGUUGUAGGGGUUGUGUUAAGGACCCCUGGAC